rnacentral:rRNA from 1 species
UACGUAGGUGGCAAGCGUUGUCCGGAUUUAUUGGGUUUAAAGGGUGCGUAGGCGGCUUUGUAAGUCAGUGGUGAAAUACUCCAGCUUAACUGGAGGGGUGCCAUUGAUACUGCGGAGCUUGAGUACAGAUGAGGUAGGCGGAAUUGACGGUGUAGCGGUGAAAUGCGCAGAUAUCGGGAGGAACACCGGUGGCGAAGGCGGUUCUCUGGGCCUGUACUGGACGCUGAGGAGCGAAAGCGUGGGGAGCGAACAGG